ensembl:lncRNA
GUCUUGUGAAGGCCGAAGGCUGGCAUGAGGAAACUCUCAAGAAUGUGUAACCGGUGAUUAUGAAAACCUAGGAGCUGUCCUUCUCCUGGUUGCGAAGCAGCAGAGCAUGAGCACAGAAGCCAAGAGAAGGUAGUGCUUGGAGGUCCACGUGGUGAGGUCAGACCCAAGAGGAGAGCCCCGUACCUCCCCUCUGUUCUUCGGAGCUUGGGCAUUCACCCAAGAGCAGAUUCUUUACCAUCUGAGCCACCAUCAGGGUAGGAGCUAAAUGCAAUCACAAGUGUCCUUAUAAGAGGGAGGCAAAGGGAGCUUUGACACAUGGAGAAGAGAAGGCAAUGGGAUGGCAGAAGCAGAGGCUGUAGUGAUGCAGCCACAAGCCAAGGAGUGCCAGCAGUCACCAGAAGCUGGAAGAGGCAUCUCCUGCCAUGUGAGGACACAGAAAGAAGAUGGCCAUCUGUGAACCAGGAAGCCAGUUCUCCCCACACACUGAAUCUGCCAGAACCUGGAUCUUGGACAUCCCAGCUUCCAGAGCUGUGAGAAAUACACAUUCUGCUGUUUAUAAACUGUGUUAUUUUGUUUUAGCAGCUCAAAUGGACUUAGACAUUCU